rnacentral:rRNA from 1 species
UGGGGAAUAUUGGACAAUGGGCGCAAGCCUGAUCCAGCAAUGCCGCGUGUGUGAAGAAGGCCUUCGGGUUGUAAAGCACUUUUAUCGGGAGCGAAACGCUGUCGGCUAAUACCCCGGCGGAACUGACGGUACCUGAGGAAUAAGCACCGGCUAACUUCGUGCCAGCAGCCGCGGUAAUACGAAGGGUGCAAGCGUUAAUCGGAAUUACUGGGCGUAAAGCGUGCGUAGGCGGUUUCUUAAGUCUGCUGUGAAAUCCCCGGGCUCAACCUGGGAAUGGCAGUGGAUACUGGGAGGCUAGAGUGUGUCAGAGGGUGGUGGAAUUCCCGGUGUAGCGGUGAAAUGCGUAGAGAUCGGGAGGAACAUCAGUGGCGAAGGCGGCCACCUGGGACAACACUGACGCUGAGGCNCGAAAGCGUGGGGGAGCAAACAGGAUUAGGAUACCCUGGUAGUCCACGCCCUAAAGCGAUGCGAACUGGAUGUUGGUCUCAACUCGGAGAUCAGUGUCGAGGCUAACGCGUUAAGUUCGCCGCCUGGGGAAGUACGGUCGCAAGACUGAAACUCAAAUGAAUUGA